UCCCCGAUGGCGCAAUCGGCAGCGCGUCUGACUGUUACAUUAUGGUCGCUCAAGGACCGCCAAUCUUCGAGUGACUGUUCUGGCCGCACAUCAGGAGGUUCUAAGUUCAAACCUUAGUCGGGGAG